UGAGGCCUGGAUGAAAAGACCUAUGGAAGAGCUACUUAGGUGUCAGUCAGAAGUCUUUUUGGUAGGGUCUCUCUGGCCCCGGACUGCAAAGCUUGCAUGGCUGAGAUAACAGGAGCUGGGAUUAUAGAUGUGAGCCACCAUGCCCAGCACUAAUAUUUUUGAAUAAGGGGAGUAACUGUAAACAGAGAACUUAUGAAGACCGAAGAAAUGUUUCCGUGAGGUUGGACAAUUUCAAGACUACUGGUAUUUUCAGAAUACAGGCUAACUCCUGACUAGGGGAAAGGAGGAAAAUAUAUUAUCUUUGAUGCGCUCUCAGAGAUUGUGGAAAGAGCUUCUAAAAAAAAAAAAAGAGUUCUGCAGGAGAAAAAUGAGG